rnacentral:lncRNA from 1 species
CACAAUAGGUGCUCACUGCUUCCGGGAUGAAUGGAAUAGUCUGUGCUCCUGUGCUGGCUGCUAGAGAGGGCAGGCACACCAGGUUCUGAGUUCAGGCAAGAACAGCCAUUCAGUUUCUGUUUACUGAGCAUCUACUACAUCCUUGGCUGGAGCAGAUGUAACUUCUCUGGCUGCUCAGAACCCUGGGGAAAACGGACUCAACAGGGUGGCUUCACACAGGGGUUUUGAUGGGGGUGGGGGGCGGGUAAAGGGAAUUAGGGAGGGCUCUUGGGGUGGACAAGAGAACAUUCCCCGAGCCCAGCCAGCACCCAAUCCAGACUGGCCCCCUUUGGGGAUGUGAUGGGGGAGCAGUGGGCACAGCACAGGGCCCGAGCCCUGGAAGGCCCCUGGGGGAGGUGGUGAAAGGAGUCACCAGAGAGUGAGCAGGUGUGUGGGGCUGUGUGUAGCUCAGUGUGCUGGCAGGUGGCGUGUGUGCAGGUGCUCUGGUUGAGCCAAGUCACAAGGGCCACAGGAUCCUGGUCCCUUCACAGGGGCA